AUUGAACGCUGGCGGCAGGCCUAACACAUGCAAGUCGAGCGGCAGCGGGAAAGUAGCUUGCUACUUUUGCCGGCGAGCGGCGGACGGGUGAGUAAUGCCUGGGAAAUUGCCCAGUCGAGGGGGAUAACAGUUGGAAACGACUGCUAAUACCGCAUACGCCCUACGGGGGAAAGCAGGGGACCUUCCGGCCUUGCGCGAUUGGAUAUGCCCAGGUGGGAUUAGCUAGUUGGUGAGGUAAUGGCUCACCAAGGCGACGAUCCCUCGCUGGCCUGCGAGGAUGAUCGGCCACACUGGAACUGAGACACGGUCCAGACUCCUACGGGAGGCAGCAGUGGGGAAUAUUGCACAAUGGGGGAAACCCUGAUGCAGCCAUGCCGCGUGUGUGAAGAAGGCCUUCGGGUUGUAAAGCACUUUCAGCGAGGAGGAAAGGUUGGUAGCUAAUAACUGCCAGCUGUGACGUUACUCGCAGAAGAAGCACCGGCUAACUCCGUGCCAGCAGCCGCGGUAAUAC
rnacentral:rRNA from 1 species